GUAUGUGUGGGGGAAUACAAUUGCAUCUGCUUGUUCAUGUAUUUUAUAUAAAUACACAUACAUACACACACACGCAUACACAUAUUUCCAGAAAGAUACACAAGAAA
rnacentral:miRNA from 1 species